UACGAAGGGGGCUAGCGUUGCUCGGAAUCACUGGGCGUAAAGCGCACGUAGGCGGAUCUUUAAGUCAGAGGUGAAAUCCCGGAGCUCAACUCCGGAACUGCCUUUGAUACUGAGGACCUUGAGUCCGGGAGAGGUGAGUGGAACUGCGAGUGUAGAGGUGAAAUUCGUAGAUAUUCGCAAGAGCACCAGUGGCGAAGGCGGCUCACUGGCCCGGUACUGACGCUGAGGUGCGAAAGCGUGGGGAGCAAACAGG
rnacentral:rRNA from 1 species